UACAGGUCUCAACGUGCCUGCGGUCCACAGGGUUUGCAGCUGCUCAACUCAAUCAGUUUUUGUUUUAUUUUUUAUCGAGUGCCAAAGUUUAUUGUUAAUGAAAUUAAUGAAAUGAAUGUUAAUUAAAAUGUUGUUCUCUUAAGGCUAUACCAAUUAGAUAUGUCUGUAGACCGCGCUCCGCUCGGUUAUUAGAUAUGUCCACGUUGGAUGGAUGGCCUCUACGACAGGAGAGAAUGAAGUCCAGGCCUCGCUGGAUCUCCGUGAGUCCGCUGAGAAUCCAGAGCUAGAGGACAUUACUGAGAAUGCAUAAACGACAAGUUAUGGAUACAAACAUGAGGCACAAGCCAGAAGAGAGUAUGAGAAGCUGAUGAGUAUGCAGAGAGGUCUCUGGCUGCAUCUCAGGUGGCCAUAAAUGCGAGCCUCGCCUGAUGAGAUUGCCACUUGCGACUGUCAUGGAACAGGGAUUUGUAAGAUAAAGUGCCUACUCUGCAAAGCAAGAUGAGGUUAAUCUGGGCUUGUGUAUUGGAGACAAGGGAUUCUGCCUCAUCAGUGAUGGAGACGAUGUUACAGCCGACAGCUGACAGGAGCCAUGCUUACUGUUUAUUACUACAUCAGGACACAGCUUCAUGUUGUGAAUGUUGAAUAUUGAAACGUUGUGGAGUGGAACUAUAAUGCCAUUUUUAAUCUGCAUGUAAGACAUUCUUUGAUAAAAUAUAUGC